rnacentral:lncRNA from 1 species
GUACCGUUUGUUCCAAGGUGCGCAAAAUCAAAACUGCUCAUAAAUAUCGCAUUUAGUUAUAGGUGCGCUAAUUACGUCGCGCGAAAUUAAGUAUGAUUUAAGACUGAGCGAAAAUUGGAAUAAAACGAAUACACAAAGUAUACAGCCUUUACAGUCGCAGAAUUAGUUACCUGCAAAUCGUUUCCCGCCCCAAACCAACUACACUCAUUAUUUAAACAAUGUAGCUUCAACAGCAUUAGUUCUCGCUUUGUGUAACCAUCGAGAAAAAUCUAGGAAAAAAUUAUUUUGUAUGGUGUCUUCAUUUAUAUGGUUUUGUUUUGGAGGGCUAUUUAUUAUGUGCCAAUAUAAUUGAUUUUAAUAAUGUAACUAAAUUUUUGGACCAGGAACUGGUCCCCAAUCGCUGCUAAUCUUGUUGUUGUUGUUGUGGUUGUUGUUGUUGUGGUUGUUGUUGUUGUGGUUGUUGUUGUGGUUGUGGUUGUUGUUGUUGUGGUUGUUGUUGUGGUUGUUGUUGUGGUUGUUGUUGUGGUUGUUGUUGUGGUUGUUGUUGUUGUUGUGGUUGUUGUUGUGGUUGUUGUUGUGGUUGUUGUUGUGGUUGUUGUUGUGGUUGUUGUU